UCUGAAGCUCCUCUGUGUGGGGAACAUGACAGCAGGACCAAAGCUCAGAGGACCCAUCAGAGACCAGGACCUGCACCUGAUCCCCAACCUGGUCCGGUGUCUGGACCUGCACCCAGCUGUGUGUCCAUGAAGAGUAACCGGUCUAUGGAUGCUCCUCUAAAAUUCAACGAUGUCCGUCCCCCUGUGGAUGCAAGGUCACAUCAGCAGAGAGGAAAGUCUCCUGAACCCAGAUGUUUGUCCAUGAAGAGAGAUCGGUCUCCUCAUCGAUCGAUUAACUUCAAAGAUGAUCAGUCUAUUGAUCGUUUGAUUGACUUCAAAGAUCAUCAGUCUAUUGAUCGUUUGAUUGACUUCAAAGAUGGACGCCGUUCUUAUGACCCACAGUAAGUUCUUAAACAGAUGAAGAACUGAAGAUCCUUAGUUAUGAAUUACAGAAUGUCCGUACAUUGUUUAAAGUGACGAUCAUCAUGACAGAACUCAUUAUCUUCAUCUAACUGGUCUGUGAGAGUUUUAGUGUGAAUCAUUAAAUGUAAA